rnacentral:rRNA from 1 species
ACAGAGGGUGCGAGCGUUAAUCGGAAUUACUGGGCGUAAAGCGUGCGUAGGCGGAUAUUUAAGUCGAAUGUGAAAGCCCUGGGCUCAACCUAGGAACUGCAUCCGAUACUGGAUAUCUAGAGUAUGGUAAAGGAAAGUGGAAUUCCCGGUGUAGCGGUGAAAUGCGUAGAUAUCGGGAGGAACAUCAAUGGCGAAGGCAACUUUCUGGACCAAUACUGACGCUGAGGUACGAAAGCGUGGGGAGCAAACAGG